CCCACCCCCCAGGAGAGUUCAUCCGUGCUCUGUAUGAAUCUGAGGAAAACUGCGAGGUAGACCCUAUCAAGUGCACAGCAUCCAGUUUGGCAGAGCACCAGGCCAACCUGCGAAUGUGCUGUGAGUUGGCCCUGUGCAAGGUGGUCAACUCCCACUGCCUCCCAUCUUCCUCCUGCGGUCCCUCCUUCCCUGUCUCUCUCACCCCUGUUUCCACACCCUCACCUCCUACCACCCCCCUCAGCAUGUUCCCUGGAAGCUGAGGGUCUCUGGGGCUCAGUCCCGGUCUCUCUCUUUCUCUCUCUCUCUCUCUGUCUCCCCGACCCUUCCCCCCAGCGUGUUCCCGAGGGAGCUGAAGGAGGUGUUUGCUUCGUGGCGGCUGCGCUGCGCAGAGCGAGGCCGGGAGGACAUCGCAGACAGGCUUAUCAGCGCCUCACUCUUCCUGCGCUUCCUCUGCCCAGCGAUUAUGUCGCCCAGUCUCUUUGGGCUUAUGCAGGAGUACCCAGAUGAGCAGACCUCACGAACCCUCACCCUCAUUGCCAAGGUCAUCCA
rnacentral:lncRNA from 1 species